GUGCUUGGGGUAUAAAGAUUUGCUUAGGGCCUCUUCCAGUGCCUAAAGGGGCUCCAAGAGAGCUGGAAAGGGAUUUUGGACAAGAGCCUGGAGGGAGAGGACACAGCAGAAUGGCUUCCCACUGCCAGAGGUCAGGGUUAGAUGGGAUAUUGGGAAGGAAUUGUUGGCUGUGAGGGUGGAGAGGCCCUGGCACAGGUUGC